ACUGCUUCUUCAACGGCAGCACCGGACAAAGCCCCGUCGCUCAACCAUGGAAUUCUCAAUCUUCAGAUCCUGCAACAUGGGAAAAAAUGCAACACCUCCUGGAGGCUUCACAAACUUUAUUCAGCCUAACUUGUUUCAACAGUUUAAUUUUGUUGGAGAACCUUCUCCGUUUGCCCCAUUCAAGCCGCCACAGAGUUUGCAAGAUUUUCAGUCAGAAGAAGAAUUCUUGACUUUCCUAAUUCAUCAAGGGACAAUACAUAUGUUAAUGUUGACAGUGGUGAUAAGGCACCUAGGACUGAGAAGCGAAUCUUCUGGACUCAAGAUGAAGAUGUCAGGAUGAUGAGCUCUUGGCUGCUCAAUUCAGCAGACUCAACCAUCGGUACCAUUGGUGCUGAUAGGAAGAAUGACCAAUAUUGGACUGAUGUUGAGGCUAUGUACAAUGAGACUACACCAAAGUUAUAGGCGCAGAAAUGCCAAGCAAAUCAAGGAUCGUUUCCAUAAUGUAAAUAAGUGGACUGACCUUUUCCAUAAUGCUUGGUUGAAGGCGAUCAAAUGUGGAUUGAGAAGGCCCAUGUACUUAUAUAAAAGACAAUGAGAAACUCAAUCUAGAUUGUUUUGUGUUGAUGGAAGUAUGGAACACUGUUAAAAUUGAAGCAAAGUGGAUUACAUACAACAAUAGGCUCAAAGCAGCAAGAAAAAGAAAGAGUUCAGGCAGGGAGUAGGAAGGAGAUGAUAGUAGCCAUAUAGAUGAAGAUCAACUUGACAAACAACCAAGGCCAAUGGAGCAAAAAGCUGCUAAAAAGCUAAAAUAUGCCAAAAGUAAGGAGGUGGACCAUAUUGAUCUUGAGGAGUUGGAUAACUUUGGUAAAAUACAGUGUGAAGAGCAUGCAAACAGGCUGAAAGUAUUGGAAGUGCAGCAAGGCAGGGAGAAGGAAGGAGAUGAUAGUAGCCAUAUAGAUGAAGAUCAACGUGACAAACAACCAAGGCCAAUGGAGCAAAAAUCUGCUAAAAAGUUAAAAUAUGCCAAAAGUAAGGAGGUGGACCAU